UCUGACCUAGACUCAUUUUUUAGGGCUUAAAAUCUGAAUCCUCAGUGAACCUGGGGAAGAAAGAACGAUGAAGUCCUCAAGAGUUUUACUGGUGAUCCUGUGGCUUCAGUUAACCUGGAUGAGGAGUCAACAGAAUAGAGUGGAGCAGAGUCCCGGAUCUCUGAGCCUUCGGGAGGGAGAUGCUGCCUCUCUCAAUUGCACUUACAGCGACAGUGCUUCCCAGUACUUCACGUGGUACAGACAGUAUUCCGGGAAGGGCCCUGAGUUGCUGAUGUACAUGUACUCCAAAGGUAACAAGACGGAAGGAAGAUUUUCGGGACAGGUUGAUAGAGCAAAACAAUAUGUCUCCCUGCUCAUCAGAGACUCCCAGCCCAGCGACUCAGCCACCUACCUCUGUGCAGUGAGCACACAGUAUUUCCCUGGCACCUGCUGUCCUCACCAGACACUAAGCCCCUCCUCCCUGCAGCUGGCUGACGUUAUGCAGAGAAGAAACCAUGACAAAAAGAGGCCAGAAGAGGAAGACUCCUUCUUACAGUUGUUGAAACUCAUCAAAGCCACGGACUUGCCCAGCCCCACCUCCCCACUCUUCCUGUAG